rnacentral:lncRNA from 1 species
AAAGAUUUGGUAUCUUUUCACAAUUAACAGUGUUAGUCCAAAAAAGCAGACCCAUGAUGGAAUCAUGCAACUCCACAAAGUCCAUAUUCAACAACUUGUUGCUGAAAUUUCAUCUCUCUCUCUCUCUCUCUAGAAGAAAAUGUUGUUUAAAACUUCAAUUUCAAUAUCUGUGAAUUUUACAGUUACUGACAUAUACAUACACAUAUAAUACACGGAGAGAGGGAGUUUUACAGUAGAGCGAUAGUCAUCUUUUGUCUACCACCUGGCAACUGCUCAAGAGUUCAUAUUUCCAGGUGUGCUUUCAAGAGACGCAACUGGGAAGU